UACGUAGGGGGCUAGCGUUGUCCGGAAUCAUUGGGCGUAAAGCGCGCGUAGGCGGCCGCUUAAGUCGGAUGUGAAAGCCCCUGGCUCAACUGGGGAAGUGCACCCGAAACUGAGUGGCUUGAGUACUAAAGAGGGUCGCGGAAUUCCCGGUGUAGAGGUGAAAUUCGUAGAUAUCGGGAGGAACACCGGUGGCGAAGGCGGCGACCUGGGUAGAUACUGACGCUGAGGCGCGAAAGCGUGGGGAGCAAACAGG
rnacentral:rRNA from 1 species